CCUGGCGGCACUAGCGCGGUGGUCCCACCUGACCCCAUGCCGAACUCAGAAGUGAAACGCCGUAGCGCCGAUGGUAGUGUGGGGUCUCCCCAUGUGAGAGUAG
rnacentral:rRNA from 4 species